rnacentral:misc_RNA from 1 species
CGGGCUUGCAUUGUAUUACUAGAGCAGCGAAAAAUAUCAAGUACGGCAGCACCACUAAAAGGCUUCAUGCCUGUAAGAAACAUAUUCCGGACAGUAUCAGAAUCCAAUUUUUCAUUAACAGAUUCAAUUCCAGUGAAUACAUGUUCUUUAAUAUGCUGAUUUUCCUCAAAACCUUCCUUAAUUUUUGCAUCAGGCUUCCUGUUGCAACUAUCCUCA